rnacentral:rRNA from 1 species
UCCUUAGAUGUUCUGGGCCGCACGCGCGCUACACUGAUGAAUUCAACGAGCACUAACCUGUGCCGAAAGGUUCGGGUAAUCUUGUGAAAUUUCAUCGUGAUGGGGAUUGAUUAUUGCAAUUUUUAAUCAUAAACGAGGAAUGCCUAGUAAGCGUGAGUCAUCAGCUCACGUUGAUUACGUCCCUGCCCUUUGUACACACCGCCCGUCGCUCCUACCGAUUGAAUGUGCCAGUGAAAAGUUCGGAUUGGAGAUAGGAGACGGCAACGUAUCCUAUUUCCGAGAAAAUCUUUAAACUUUCCCAUUUAGAGGAAGGAGAAGUCGUAACA